UGAUUGGGGUUUGAUGGAAGGAUAGUUUGCUAGACUUAGGAUUUUUAUUCAAGCAAUCAAGAUUAUAGUAGUAUAGAGACUAAGGUUAUAUGCAAGAUAUUAAAGAGCUCAAUAAUUAAGAACAAAUCGAUCGGCUCUCGCUUUCUAGAUUCGUCUUUUGACUAGAUCUAAUGAUCUCAACUAUCGUUUGUCGAUCAAUUAGAAAGUGUCAAUCGAUGAUUAUAGAGGAAUGUCGAUCGAUACACCUUUCACGACGUCGAUCGAUUAUUCUAUUA
rnacentral:lncRNA from 1 species